rnacentral:rRNA from 1 species
AUGGCAUCUCAUGCUGAAAUGACAGGAAGCAAUAUGCUACGUCUUCAAAGCUUUCCUAGUAAUAUGGGAAAACAAAGGAGUAGUUUUAUCUCCACAAGACACCUUCCCUUGAGAAGGCCACGAGUGGUUCGACAUUGCCUGGACCUACGUCAUCUUUGCCGCUUACCUAAUCAAAGGGCUAUUGUUCCAAAUAUCAGAACAAUGCCUCCUCUCACUGCCGCAGUAUCCAGGGGAGUUAAUAGUCCAUUGAUAGAGGCAUCUGUCGAUGACAUGGAAUUAGUUUCAAGGAUUAUUCACUUUUAUCGCAAACCACUUCUUCAAGAGAGUGAGGCCAAGGAGUUACUCAGGAAAGUGCAGGCAAAGGUUUCUUCUAAUAUUAUUGAUAUAAAGACUGAGCAAUGCUUCAAUGUUGAGUUGGAGGAUUCACUAAGUUCUGCGAAGCUUGCAACACUUAAGUGGCUCCUAGCAGAAACUUAUGAACCUGACAACUUACAAACAGGGAGCCUUCUGGAGGAGGAGGUUUCUAUGAGUCCUUAUUCCUUCCUUGUUGAGGUCGGUCCCCGGAUGACAUUUUCGACAGCUUUCUCGACUAAUGCUGUCUCGAUUUGUAAAGCUCUAUCUUUAAUGGAAGUAACUCGCCUGGAGAGGUCUAGAAGAUAUCUUUUGUGCCUUCAGCCUGGUAGUGACCCACUUGAUGAAAGCCAACUCAACAGCUUUGCUGCUCUGGUUCAUGACAGGAUGACAGAGUGUGUUUAUCCUAGCAAGCUCACAUCAUUCCGGUCAGAUGUAGUUCCAGAACCUGUCAGUGUUAUACCAGUCAUGGAAAAGGGAAGGGAAGCACUGGAGGAAAUAAAUCUUCAAAUGGGGCUGGCUUUUGAUGAACAAGAUAUCAAGUACUACACUCACCUCUUCAGAGAUGACAUCAAACGCAAUCCAACUACCGUGGAACUUUUUGACAUAGCGCAAUCCAAUAGUGAGCACAGCAGACAUUGGUUUUUUAAUGGAAAGCUUGAGAUAGAUGGAGAGACCAUGCCAAGUACUUUGUUUCAGUUAGUAAAGAGUCCCUUAAAAGCUAACCCUAAUAACUCUAUUAUUGGAUUCAAGGAUAACUCGAGCGCAAUAAAAGGCACCCUUGUAAAUCACCUACGUCCAGCACUACCUGGUUCCGCUUCACCGUUAUCCCUUAUGACGCGUGAACUGGGCAUUCUGUUCACAGCAGAAACCCAUAAUUUUCCAUGUGCCGUGGCACCCUACCCAGGAGCUGAAACAGGUGCAGGUGGUCGUAUAAGAGACACGCAUGCCACUGGAAAAGGUUCAUUUGUUGUUGCCUCAACUGCUGGUUAUUGUGUUGGAAACCUUCAAAUUGAAGAAUCAUACGCACCUUGGGAGGAUUCAUCCUUUUCAUACCCAUCAAACUUAGCUUCUCCAUUGCAGAUUCUUAUUGAUGCUAGCGACGGUGCUUCUGACUAUGGGAACAAGUUUGGCGAGCCUUUAAUUCAGGGAUUUACAAGAAAUUUUGGUUCUAGGUUGCCAAAUGGGGAGCGCCGUGAAUGGCUGAAGCCAAUAAUGUUCAGUGGAGCAAUUGGGCAGAUUGACCAUGCACACAUAUCGAAAGGGGAUCCAGAAAUUGGCAUGCUAGUCGUGAAGAUUGGUGGUCCAGCAUACAGAAUUGGUAUGGGUGGUGGUGCUGCCUCAAGUAUGGUUAGCGGACAGAAUGAUGCAGAGCUCGAUUUUAAUGCAGUUCAGCGGGGAGAUGCUGAGAUGGCACAGAAAUUAUAUCGUGUGGUCAGGGCAUGUGCAGAAAUGGGGGAGAAGAAUCCAAUCAUCAGCAUUCAUGAUCAGGGAGCUGGAGGAAACUGCAAUGUUGUGAAAGAAAUAAUCUAUCCUAAGGGUGCUGAAAUUGACAUCCGCUCAAUUGUUGUUGGUGAUCACACAUUGUCUGUGUUGGAGAUCUGGGGUGCUGAAUACCAGGAACAAGAUGCAUUAUUGGUGAAGCCUGAGAGUAGAAACCUGUUGCAGUCACUUUGUGAGAGAGAAAGAGUUUCAAUGGCUGUCCUUGGUGAAAUUGAUGGUAGUGGAAAAAUUGUUUUGAUUGACGGUGCUGCUGUGGAGCAUGCAAAGUUGAGUGGCCUUCCGCCACCACCACCUGUUGUUGAUCUUGAGCUUGAAAAGGUUUUAGGAGAUAUGCCUCAGAAGACCUUUGAAUUCAAGCGCGUUUCUCGAUCGAGUGAGCCCUUAGACAUAGCACCCGAGGUUACACUGAUGGAUGUUCUUAAGCGAGUAUUGAAGCUUCCCUCUGUAUGUUCAAAGCGUUUCUUGACCACUAAGGUUGACAGGUGUGUGACAGGUCUUGUUGCACAACAGCAGACGGUUGGCCCUCUCCAACUUCCACUUGCUGAUGUUGCUGUAAUUGCACAGACUUACACAGAUCUGACAGGUGGUGCUUGUGCCAUUGGAGAACAACCGAUAAAGGGUUUACUUAAUCCUGAGGCCAUGGCAAGGCUUGCUGUUGGGGAGGCAUUGACCAAUCUGGUUUGGGCUAAAGUUACAUCUCUUGCUGACGUCAAAGCAAGUGGCAAUUGGAUGUAUGCUGCAAAGAUUGAUGGAGAGGGAGCAGAUAUGUAUGAUGCUGCUGUCGCAAUGGCUGACUGCAUGAUUCAACUUGGUAUUGGAAUUGAUGGAGGAAAGGAUAGUCUUUCUAUGGCAGCUCAAUGUGAUGGCGAGCUAGUCAAAGCUCCAGGAAAUCUUGUUAUCAGUGCUUAUGUGACAUGUCCUGAUAUAACCUUGACUGUUACUCCAGAUCUAAAGCUUGGGAAGGAUGGGGUUCUGUUGCAUGUUGACCUGGCUAAAGGAAAGCGACGACUUGGUUGUUCUGCUCUCGCACAAGCAUUUGAUCAAAUUGGAAAUGACUGCCCAGACAUAGAAGAUGUCCCUUACUUGAAAAAGGUCUUUGAGGUUGUUCAAGAAUUGCUCAGUGAGCGCCUGAUUUCUGCCGGUCAUGACAUUAGUGAUGGUGGGCUUAUUGUCACUAUUCUUGAGAUGGCAUUUGCUGGUAACUGUGGUGUUAACCUCAACAUAGAAUCAAAAGAUAAUGACCUUCUUCAAACACUUUUUGCGGAAGAGCUUGGUCUUGUAAUUGAAGUGCAUUUGGAUGACCUUGAUCUAGUGAAGCAAAAACUUGAUGCAGCAGGGGUUUCUGCUGAUGUGAUAGGAGAAGUAACUGCAGCACCAGAAAUAGAGCUACUUGUUGAUGGUGAGGUGCGUUUGAAAGAAAGAACUUCAGACCUCAGAGAUUUGUGGGAGGAAACAAGCUUUCAGCUUGAGGAGCUACAGCGGCUGAAAUCUUGUGUCAAGCUUGAGAAAGAAGGCUUAAAAAGCCGAACAUCCCCUUUAUGGCAUUUGUCUUUUACGCCCAAAUUCACAGACAAGAAACUACUGUCUGCAUCCUCGAAACCGAAGGUUGCCAUCAUUCGCGAAGAAGGGAGCAACAGUGAUAGGGAAAUGUCUGCUGCAUUCCAUGCUGCUGGUUUUGAACCGUGGGACAUCACAAUGUCGGAUCUCUUGAACCAGAAGGCUGAUCUAAUGGAAUUCCGUGGGAUCGCAUUUGUUGGUGGAUUUAGCUAUGCAGAUGUUCUUGACUCAGCGAAAGGUUGGGCUGCAUCUAUCAGGUUCAACCAGCCCCUCAUACAGCAGUUCCAGGAGUUCUACAAUAGGCAAGACACAUUCAGCCUUGGGGUCUGCAAUGGGUGUCAGCUCAUGGCUCUUCUUGGUUGGGUACCAGGACCCGAUAUUGGAGGCUCGCUUGGUGCAGGUGGAGACAUGUCCCAGCCAAGGUUCACUCACAAUGAAUCUGGCCGUUUUGAAUGUCGGUUUAUCAGUGUGGCCAUUGGGGAUUCUCCUUCUAUAAUGUUCAAAGGUAUGGAAGGCUCUACACUGGGCAUUUGGAGUGCUCAUGGUGAAGGUAGAGCCUUCUUCCCAGAUGAAAAUGUCUUGUCUGAUGUUGUGAAAUCUAAUCUGGCCCCUCUGAGGUACUGCGAUGAUGCUAAUAACGUCACAGAGGUAUAUCCUUUCAACCCUAAUGGCUCUCCGCUUGGUAUUGCGGCCCUUUGCUCCCCUAAUGGAAGGCACCUUGCGCUGAUGCCACACCCAGAGCGUUCCUUUAUGAUGUGGCAAUACCCAUGGUAUCCCAAGGAGUGGCAGGUUGAGAAGAGUGGUCCCAGUCCUUGGUUGCGCAUGUUCCAGAAUGCAAGAGAAUGGUGUUCAUAG